rnacentral:sRNA from 1 species
UUUUAGCCCAGAUAGAAAUGGAAAGCUUUUUGUGGUCUCGUUAUAUUUUUUCUUGUGAAAUAAGAGCGACUUUAGAAGCUCCUUAUUUAACUUAGAAAAAAAUAAAGGAGGAUACGAAAACUUGAAGGGAAGAGCUGGAUGAGCU